rnacentral:rRNA from 1 species
GACGAACGCUGGCGGCGUGCUUAACACAUGCAAGUCGAGCGGUAAGGCCCUUUCGGGGGUACACGAGCGGCGAACGGGUGAGUAACACGUGGGUGACCUGCCCUUAGCUCUGGGAUAAGCCUGGGAAACUGGGUCUAAUACCGGAUAUGACUCCAUGACGCAUGUUGUGGGGUGGAAAGCCUUGUGCGGCUAGGGAUGGGCCUGCGGCCUAUCAGCUUGUUGGUGGGGCGAUGGCCUACCAAGGCGACGACGGGUAGCCGGCCUGAGAGGGCGACCGGCCACACUGGGACUGAGACACGGCCCAGACUCCUACGGGAGGGCAGCAGUGGGGAAUCUUGCGCAAUGGGCGAAAGCCUGACGCAGCGACGCCGCGUGGGGAUGACGGCCU